rnacentral:rRNA from 1 species
AGAGUUUGAUCCUGGCUCAGAUUGAACGCUGGCGGAAUGCUUUACACAUGCAAGUCGAACGGCGAGCACGGGAGCUUGCUCCUGGUGGCGAGUGGCGAACGGGUGAGUAAUACCUAGGAACAUGUCCAGUAGUGGGGGAUAACGCAGCGAAAGCUGUGCUAAUACCGCAUACGCCCUACGGGGGAAAGCGGGGGAUUCGCAAGAACCUCGCGUUAUUGGAGUGGCCUAGGCCUGAUUAGCUAGUUGGUGAGGUAAAGGCUCACCAAGGCGACGAUCAGUAGCUGGUCUGAGAGGAUGAUCAGCCACACUGGAACUGAGACACGGUCCAGACUCCUACGGGAGGCAGCAGUGGGGAAUUUUGGACAAUGGGGGAAACCCUGAUCCAGCCAUUCCGCGUGAGUGAAGAAGGCCUUCGGGUUGUAAAGCUCUUUCAGGAGGGAAGAAACGGUUGCAGCUAAUAUCUGCGACUAAUGACGGUACCUUCAGAAGAAGCACCGGCUAACUACGUGCCAGCAGUCGCGGUAAUACGUAGGGUGCGAGCGUUAAUCGGAAUUACUGGGCGUAAAGCGUGCGCAGGCGGUUUU